GAAGAUCUUUCUGUUACUGGAUCUCAGCACCAUCAGCUGGGAUUGCUUAAAGAGAUGCCAUGGCUCUGGGAACGGGGUGUGUGCGCCAAAAAAGCACCAAGGAGGAACUGGAGCCUUGGCAGGACCGGGAGGGUGCCCAGAGAAGCUCUGCAAGCAGAAUGAGUGCCUUCACCCCUCUGUCAUCACCAGCCCCUGAGAGCAAUCACCACCCACCAACAGUUCCUGGAGAUAAGGCCGAGCCAGCUGGGAGAAGAAAGCCUUUGAUAUUCCCUGCCUUGCUGACUGCGUUUCUCACAGCUCACGUCUGGAGUGGGCCAGGGGAGGUGGCUGGACACGAAAGAAUAACACUGAUGGGGGAUGCAGGGAAGGUGUUAAUCUUCUGCCAUGUGUGUAGGUAAGUACUCACUCAGCAGAUAAUCUCAGAUCCUGUAAAGACAGACAUUCACUUUAAAACAGAGACCGAACUCCCUGCUGCCGGGCAGCUCUGAUC